AACAUAGAAGUAAAAUUUUUACAUUUAGUUUCGACCUAAAUUACUUAGGAUUUAAUCUCCUCGUGUUU
rnacentral:tRNA from 1 species